AUCGGUGGUGGUAGCUCAGUCGAGUAAGCGCCCGCUUCUCACGCAAGAGAUGCGGGUUCGAAUCCCGGUGCUGACA
rnacentral:tRNA from 1 species